UACGGGGGGGGCAAGCGUUGUUCGGAAUUACUGGGCGUAAAGGGCCAGUAGGCGGCCAACUAAGUCAGACGUGAAAUCCCUCGGCUUAACCGGGGAACUGCGUCUGAUACUGGAUGGCUAGAGAUUGGGAGAGGGAUGCGGAAUUCCAGGUGUAGCGGUGAAAUGCGCAGAUAUCAGGAGGAACACCAAUGGCGAAGGCAGCACUCUGGGACGUGACUGACGCUGAGACGCGAAAGCGUGGGGAGCAAACAGG
rnacentral:rRNA from 1 species